ensembl:lncRNA novel transcript
AAUCAGCUGCCAGCGUGGCUAGAAUAAAAGCAAGCAGAGGAACGUGGAAGGAUGAGACUGGCUGAGUCUUCUGGUCUUCAUCUUUCUCCCAUGCUGGAUGCUUCCUGCCCUUGAACAUUGGACUGCAAGUUCUUUAGCUUUUGGACGUUUGGACUUACACCAGUGGUUUGCCAGGGGCUCUCAGACCUUCUGCCACAGACUGAAGGCUGCACUUUCAGCUUCCCUACUUUUGAGGUUUUGGAACUCGGACUGGCUUUCUUGCUCCGCAGCUUGCAGGUGGCCUGUUAUGGGACUUUACCUUGUGGAUCAUAAUCAAGAAAAACUUUUUUUUAAGCUACUUGUAGCUUUUCACAAUUGAGUAAGGUAUACUCCUGUAAACAAAAUUUGGAGCACAUUCGUCUCUCUCUACCUGAUUUCUCCAGAAUUUGAAAACUAGUUGACAACUUUGUGCCCUGUCUUCCAGUUUAACAUGGAGCUUUCAGUCUGUAAUGCAGAGGAUCCUCUAGGGUAUAACUCCACAAGGCAGAAGACAAGUUUACUGUGGACAAAAAAAUGGGCUAGAAUGUCUUCAGCUUCUCAGGCCCUUAAUAGGGCUGAUGAUGGAUGACUCUACUGGAGAAAAGGAAGACAAAGAGGUUUCAGAUCAUCAAUAAAGCAGCUGACUCUCAAGAAAUGGCUGGAAAUCAUAUUUAAAGUCGAUCUUAAAUGAAUUUGAAAAAAAUGCACAUAAAGAUCGUUACCUGCCUCGUUUGGACAUAUCAGACCUAUGAAUAUUUAUGUAGAAACAAGAGCUUAUAAUUAUCACAAAAAGAAAAUGAACACUACUUUUCCCAUUUAGAAAAAUAUGAAAGGCAAAUUUUAAAUGAAAACUCUCUUGGGACAUUUGAUAUGUCAUGAACUAUCAAGACCAUGACUAUUUUUUAAUAGCUUUUGAAAUCUUUCUCGAAAAUGUCUCUCUUCUUUUCUCCAUUCUUAUUUAUUCCUUAGUUUUGACUUUAAUAUAUUUAUUAUUCUCAGUUGCUUCUGUAAGCCUUAACUUUUAUCAAAUUUGUAAAAUAGCAGAGAAUAGAAUUUUGAUGUCAUUCAAAUGCCUCACCUAGUACUAUGCACAUAGUAAACACACAACUAAUACAACUGCACUUGGAUUCAAAGAUCCUUCAAUGGUGGAGAAUAGAAAAGCUAUAGGGCAGGAUUUCUAGUCUGCACAGAGCUGAGCACAGAGGAGCAGUGCUGUGUCAAGGGCAAGACUCUCACAAGUGGCUGGAGCAAACAGAGAGGAAAGACUCUUCCCCUAGAACCUAAGUAGCCAGUUAUUCAGGCCCAAAGGACCCCUCUGUUGCUAAAUCAGGGAUCAAGCCUUAAAUAGGUUAAUUUUUUCCUUAUGUGAACAUACAAGGGUAAGCAGACUUACCAUUCUCAUCAAAAGGAGAUGGAAAAGGGACAUAGAGGUCUGACAUCUGCAUAAGCUACCUAGCUACCUGCAAUCUAGCUGGUACAACAGCUAUCUUUAAUUUUUAGUAAGGGAGCUCAAGUAAGUUGCCCUAGAUGAAAAAACCAGUAAGGAGAAAGCUUAAAUAACUUGCCCAAGAUGACACAGCUAGCACAGGGCAGUGCUUGAGUAACUUCCCGAGGUUACACAGGUAGUGAGAGGUGGAAUUGCUAGGUUGUUCAGCACCACACUUUUCUCCCCUCUACCUCAAUGGUUCCUGGCUCUGUGUGGGUGUCUCCUAGCAGAUAAAAUGGCCCUCUUCCAUUUACAUUUGUCUUAUCCUUAUAUCUUCAAAAUGGUUCGUAAGACAAAAAGAGCCUGCCCUUGAUAGACUGCCUCCCACUGCAGCAAGUCUAGCACUGAGCAGCCCUAAGACUAGAAUGCCAACUUCGUAGAGGGAGGAUAGAUAGGAAAGGCUCCUGAGACCUGGGGCCUGGGAGAAGGAAGUAGUAGGUUCAAGAUUAAGAGGAGGUGAGUGAUACGUGUGGCUCAGACAUAAAAUGUAAUGCCCACCAAAAAACUCAGUCAUCAAUCUAAGUAAUAUUUACUGAAAUGAUUUUUAAAAUCACAGUAUGAGAAACCCGUGAAGAACAAAAUAUCAAACUUGUAAAUAAAGACAGGAUCCGGCAGGGCCAGUGUGGUGGUGAGGCAAGUGAGGCUAAGUUAUGUAAAUGAAGGGUUGGACCCUAUCUUAAUUUUAAACUGCUGAAAUUUUAUUUAUCAUGGGCUUUUUUGGCAUUUUGAUUGUUAAAAUAAUUCAUUAUAUUGUUUAUCUUGAUUACUGCAUUUUGGCAUCCCCAUAAAUUUUGUGCCUGAGCUGACUGCCUCACUCACUUCAUUCUAACGUUGGCUUUAGGGUGAAGGCUGGGGAGCCAAUCUGAACCUGACAAAUAGUCUGGGCCUCACAAAAGAAAGGAGAAAGGUGGGAGCCUCACUAAGAAUUUCAUGCCGGGCUCCUCUUGGCACAUUAUUUUGUUUGUUCCUGACGGCCACCCUCCAAGGCAGCUAUUAGUAUUAUCAUUUAUGUAGGAAACUGAGUGCCAGUAUUACAAGGGUAGAAAGUGACUGAGCUGGGUUUCAGCCAAGGCCUAUCUGCCUCUAGAUCCUGGCAAUUCCCACUACUGGCUGAUACGUGCCUAAUAGUUUAUAACCAAAAUUCUUGACAUUUUCUCCACCUUUCAAGUCACAAGCUCCACCACAUGAAGACAGAAAUCACAAUGGGAAAUUUCAUUUGCUUGUCUACUCUUGAAGCUGCGUGAAAUUUUAAACCAUAGCUCUAUUUUCCUGAUGUCCUUAAAUUACUAUUCUUCCCAAGUUAUUCAUAUUUUACGUCUAGUAUGAGGCUCAGACAGUAAAAGUGUGAAUGCAAUGCACCCAUUUUACAUGUAUCAUUCAUUACUAUGCUCGAUUGGUGUGCCCUUUGCCGCACCACAGCAUAUUUAGAACAAAACAGAUCAGUCGGUUGGGGGGAUUCAGUAACACUCUACACUUGUAUCCAGUCAAUUGUUGAUGGUAAUCCAAUCUUGGAUGUGGUGAAAAGAGGGUGGGCUUAGGGUCUAAGUGAAAUUGACUGCCAGUGUGUGACUCUGAAUCAUUUAUUUAUAUCUCUGAGGUUUUCGUUCCCUUUUUUAUAAAAAUUUUAUUAAAUAAGUUUUCAUUUUUCCGUAAAACUAAGACUGAAGGAAAGUCUGCCUUUCUUAAAGUCAGCAAGGUCUACUGAUAAAGAAGAUACCUUGUAAUCUCUACUUUCAUGACAGAAAUCCAGGCCUAAUCAAUACUUUUUUCUAUUAUCACUGUAAUUAAGGCAUAAGGCUUUCCCUGAUAUACAAAUGAUUAAACCUCUCAAUAAACAACUUCACAUAGGUCUGGCUCUGCUGAUUACUUUAUCAUUGCCUUCUGCAAUAGCCACUAUUGCCAUCUACAGCUUGGGCUCCUCUCCAUAAAUAGAGUACAAUUAACAAAUGCAUUAUUGUCAUCUUGUUUGUAUAAAUGUUGUUGUGAACAAUAGCCAUUUAUUAUCUAAGAUGUCACCUUUUGGCUUUCACAAACUAACAUUUCAUGAAUUCAUAGACCAUGCACAGUCUUUCAGGCAGAAUUAAUCAAAUAUCUCUUUGGGACCCUAAUAGAUUUUGGGGGCAUAAUUCUGUUAUGUUUGUGUCAUCUUUGCACGUUCAAUGCCAAGUAUAAUGCCUGGCAUAUAAUAGGUUCCACAACAGAUAAUAGUUGAUCCUUGAUGGAAAUCACUCAGUUUAUUUCGUUUUGUUCCUGAAAAAAUAAACACUGCAAACACUGGUCUUUCCAGAGUCUCACCGGAUAAAUAUCUGUGUCCUCCACCAAAUGGCCCAUGAAUUAGCACAUCAGAGUGAAGAGAAAGGAUUAGGGACUAGAAGAACUAGUAGAUGAUACUAAUCAAGCUUCAGACUUAUUGAAUUAAUUUAGAUCAAAGGCUGACUAAUCCUUGUCAUUUAGCCCAUUUUCUAAUAUUUGAGCAUUUAAUCUUUUGGGGAGAUCUUCUUUGGAGGAAUACAUUCAUUCAAUAGAUUGAAUAUUUAUGGAUCAGAUAUUGUUUCAGGUUCUAGAGGCUCAAAAAUGUCUAAGAUAUUAUCUCUGUCUUUAAGGCUAUCACAGGUUAAUGGGUAAUGUACACAGAGUUAAAAUGCAGUGCAAAUGCAUAGAAACAUGUCCAAGGAAUAAUACGGGCAUAAAUGAGAAGUUAUUGGCUUUUAUUUCCUGAGCCUAGGAAUGUGUAGCAAAGAAGCUUCAAAGUGGUCUAAAGAAUGAGUAGGAAUUUUCCAGCCAGUACAAAAUAGCAUAAUAAGCUUAGGGAUUUUUUUUUUCUUUUUUGAGAUGGAGUCUUGCUCUUGUCACCCAGGAUAGAAUGCCAUGGUGCGAUCUUGGCUCACUGCAACUUCCACCUCCCGGGUUCAAGUGAUUCUCUUGCCUCAGACUCUUAAGUAGCUGGGAUUAUAGGCACCUGCCACCACACCCGACUAAUUUUUGUAUUUUUAUUAGAGACGGGGUUUUGCCAUGUUGGCCAGGCUGGUCUUGAGCUCCCUAACCUCGUGCUCUGCCCACCUCGGCCUCCCAAAGUUCUGGGAUUACAGGCGUGAGCCACUGCGCCCAGUCAGGAGUUUUAAUAGCUUCAUAUGGUUGGAACACAGGAUGCUUGGAGAGGGCAGGGGAUUACGCAGCACAUUGGGUCAGGGAUCAGAUGAUAGGGAGCCCUCUGUACCUGUUGAGUUUUGACUUGGACCUUUUGGUCAGAAGUUCUCAACAGUCCUGAGAAAUACAGGAUACUACUUGGCUCACAUCCCAAUUAGUACGAAUGGGUCAUCCAGAGUGAUUAAUCCCCUUUGCAUAUGUGAUUUUGGUUUGGCCUUUUGCCCUGAGAAUUUCAACCUUGGCUGUAUAUUAGAAUCCUAUAGUGGGAACUUUUGAAAAAUACAUAUUUGUUCUUCUCCUCUAUGUCACCCCUCUAAUCAGCUUACUGAACACAGCCCAGCAGUAAUCCCUAAACUCAUGUUUAGGGACUUCUGAAGUGGGGAGACAUUGACAGGUGUUAAACAGGGUUAAAACAUCAAAGUAAAUGUACCUUUAUGUCAUUUUAUAAAUGACACUCUGGAAAGGUCAGAUUGAUCACUGUGGGGAGGAUGUUUGGGAAGGGAGAUAAAGGGCACAAAUGACCAAUGGCAGGGAUUCUUCAAAUCACUGAAGUAGUUAGAGCCAGGUAUAAAAAGAAUAUGAGCUAAGUCAGUGGGGGUGUAAAGGAGGAGCUAGAAAUGGAUAGCAUUAUAACUAUAGAAUCCAUAAGACAGGUUGCAUGAAACUGAAUGAGUAAAGCGAUGAACACUAAAGAGUUUAGAAUGAUUCUAGAUUCUGGCUG